CGCAUCAGGGAACGGGAAGAUGCAGGAUGUGAAUGUGCUUGCUGAAUACUUGUGCAUUUGCUGACGAAUACUUGUUUUCGCAAUUGUAUCUGCAUAGCUGCUUGAAUGUGCUUGCUGCAAUUGUAUCCAUAGAAGCUGAAUACUUGUCUGCGAAUCGGGAAGGUGCAGAGUGUGAUCCAUUUCUACAAAAGCCUACUGUUGGCAAAUAAAACUCGCUUCAUCGCCAUAGUGUUGUGCUUCUCCUACCGCAGUGAGAAAUUUGCCAUUAUGAAAGUCCACCGGUGCCGGCUUCGACGAAUUAGAGACUUAGGUGAGGGUUUCUUCAUUAUAAAAAAACUGAGCAUAACUAACGCUCUAAAAUGAACAUGACGACUCCAUUAAACGGUUCGAACCACGAUUACUGUCGUUGAAGUUCUCCAUCGCCAUCGAGUUUUCCCUUCCCUCCUCGCAGAUAUCUCCCUUCUCUCUCGCUCUCUCGCACCAGAGCCGCACCCUCGCACCAGAGAGCAGGUAGACCAUGUCCUUGUACUUCCCCGUCGCAUGACGUGGUCAUCGAGCAGCGACGCGGCGGAGGCGGAGGGCGGGAGGAGAAAUUUGCCAUUACGCAUGGCGCCGUCGUUGUAGGUGCGGAGCAGCCCCGACAGGGAGGAGAAAUUUGCCAUUACGGCGUGGGCGGACUCGCCCAACCACGGCAUCGCCUUCGACUCCUCCUGGGGGCUCCUCGACGACCUGGAGAUACUCGUCAAGCGCCUCCGCUCAAAGCAGGUGCGGAAGGGCUCCAUCGACGGGAGCGGCGGCGCCGGCAACAGCAACUUCGACUCCUUCUCCGAGGCCGGGUGGUCCAGGGAGAUCUCCGGCGCGGCGGAUUCGGCAUCCACCAGCGCCCUGUGGGACGAGACGAGCCGCGACUACCUCACCUUCGUCAAGGAGUACCGAGAAGCCGCCAUAUUGUGCCCAUCUCAUGCCAGGGCACUCAAGCUCCUGGGGAGCGCUCUCUUUGGCGUUGGGGAGUACCGAGCUGCUGAGAAGGCACUGGAGUAGGCCAUCUUCCUGAAGGAAGACUAUGCUGAUGCGCACUGUGACCUUGGGUCGGCCCUGCAUGCAGUAGGGGAGGAUGACCGUGCUAUCCAGGAGUUUCAGACAGCAAUUGAUCUCAAACCUGGCCAUGUUGAUGCCUUGUAUAAUCUUGGUGGAUUGAACAUGGAUGUUGGCCGCUUCGUACGGGCUGCAGAGAUGUAUACUCGUGUGCUGAGCAUCCAACCAAACCAUUGGCGUGCACAGCUAAACAAGGCGGUGGCUUUGCUUGGGCAGGGUGAAUCUGAGGAGGCUAAGAAGGCACUCAAGGAGGCGUUUAAGAUGACACAGAGGGUGAAAGUGUAUGAUGCUAUCUCACAUUUGAAGACAUUGCAAAAGAAAAAGCCAAAGCCUUCCAAAGGAAAAAAUGAUGGUCAAGGGGAGCAGACUUAUGUUAUUGUGGAGGCAUCCAAGUUCAAGAGGGUUGGCAGGAAGACUACCUUGCGGCAGGAUUUGGCCAAUGCUCUAGAUAUAAGGGCCUUCGAGAGGAUGACGAAGCUAGGCCACUGCGAUGUGGAGCUUCUUAGAAAAGAGAUGAAUGAGACUGAUGUCCCCGUAUCUUACUCAGGCACUGGCAUCCCUGAGAAGUCAAUACGCAAAGCAGCUCUUGAGGUUAUUCUCCGCAGGCUCCUCUCUUUUCUCAAGCCAGACACCUUUCAGGGUGCCAUCAAGGCAAUCAACGAAAGAAUUCUCUCUGUCCUUAUGCUCCUGGUUCUGGUCGUGUUGAUCUGGGUAUGUUCUUCGCCAUCAUUGCUCCAAUCUGUUCAGGCCCUGUGGAUAGGCGCAAGCGUAUCGUCUUUGAUGCACUUCUUUGGCGUCAUACACGGAAUUCUUACAGUGCGUUUGGAUGUUGGAAUUUAGACUCGGAAUUCAGAAUUGGAAUUGACAAACCCGAAUUCUGGUGUUUGGAUGGUCACAGUAUUUGGAAUUGGAAAUCCACCAAAUUCCAGCCGGUAUUCAACUCUACACACGCCUCCACUCUCCAAUUCCGACCCUCCACCCUCUGAUUUGCUCGGAAUUGAACUGGAUUUGGUAUUGGAUCCGAUUUCCAAAGCCAGGCUGAUUUGGUAUUGGAUCCAAUUCAAUUCCACCAUCUCCAAUUCCAACAUCCAAACGGAGCAUUAGAGAUGUUCAAUGACCCGGAUUGGGGAUUUGGGAUCCUGAGCACUCUGGUGAAGCUCGAAGAGAGUGACCACAUACGCCAUGGUAGCCACACAUCCCAGUCCCCCGAGCUCGUAGUAGUCGCCGCCACCGUGACGGGCUCCGCUGCGGGCGCCGAGGACGCAUGGCGAUGACGGUCGUCCUUGGCAGACGCGGAAGCGGAAGUCACGGAGGAAGAGGAGUCCCAGUCGCCGUCGCCGCUGCCGCGGUCGAGGAGACCACAGAGGAUGGCGAAGAGCACGAGGCAGAGGAGACCACAACGAAAAUAUGACGGCGUGAGUUUGAGAUCGUCGUUACUUGUUAAUAGAGUUGUCAUGUUUAUUUUAGAGUGUUGGUUAUGCCCAGCUUUUCUAUAAUGGAGAAACCCUCGACUGAGCCUCUAUUUCGUCGAAACCGCAUCCGUCGUGUUUCAUAAUGUCAAAUCUCUCUACU